AUACGUAGGGUGCAAGCGUUAAUCGGAAUUACUGGGCGUAAAGCGUGCGCAGGCGGUUUUGUAAGACAGAGGUGAAAUCCCCGGGCUCAACCUGGGAACUGCCUUUGUGACUGCAAGGCUAGAGUACGGCAGAGGGGGAUGGAAUUCCGCGUGUAGCAGUGAAAGGCGUAGAUAUGGGGAGGAACAACGAUGGCGAAGGCAAUCCCCUGGUCCUGUACUAACGCGCAUGCACGAAGGCGUGGGGAGGAAACGGAGUUAGAUACCCUGGUAGUCCGCGCCCUAAACGAUUUCAACUGGUUGUUGGGUCUUCAUUGACUCAGUAACGAAGCUAACGCGUGAAGUUGACCGCCUGGGGAGUACGGCCGCAAGGUUGAAGCUCAAAUGAAUUGACGGGG
rnacentral:rRNA from 1 species